rnacentral:rRNA from 1 species
GACGAACGCUGGCGGCGUGCUUAACACAUGCAAGUCGAACGGUAACAGGCCCUUCGGGUGCUGACGAGUGGCGGACGGGUGAGUAAUGCUUAGGAAUCUGCCUAGUAGUGGGGGAUAACCCGGGGAAACUCGGGCUAAUACCGCAUACGCCCUACGGGGGAAAGGACGGGGACGUUUCGGUCCGUCGCGCUAUUAGAUGAGCCUAAGUCCGAUUAGCUAGUUGGUAGGGUAAUGGCCUACCAACGGACGACGAUCGGUAGCUGGUCUGAGAGGACGACCAGCCACCACUGGGACGU